AGAGUUUGAUCCUGGCUCAGGAUGAACGCUGGCGGUGUGCCUUAUACAUGCAAGUCGAACGAUGAAGCAGAGCUUGCUCUGUGGAUUAGUGGCAAACGGGUGAGUACAAGAUAGGUAACCUACCCUAAAGAUGGGGAUAUACGGCAGAAAUGCUGGGUAAUACCCAAUAAUGUCUCUUUUUUAAUUAAUUGAGAAGAAAGGCGCAAGCCGCUUUAGGACGGACUUAUCCCCUAUCAGUUAGUUGGUGAGGUAACGGCUCACCAAGACUACGACGGGUAGCUGGUCUGAGAGGACGGUCGGCCACAUUGGGACUGAGACACGGCCCAGACUCCUACGGGAGGCAGUAGUCGGGAAUAUUCGGCAAUGGGCGAAAGCCUGACCGAGCGACACCGCGUGAGCGACGAAGGCCUUCGGGUCGUAAAGCUCUUUUAUUUGGGAAGAAUGCAUAGCAAUAUGUUUGACGGUACCAGAUGAAUAAGCUCCAGCUAACUACGUGCCAGCAGCUGCGGUAAUACGUAGGGAGUGAGCGUUAUCCGGAAUCACUGGGCGUAAAGGGUCCGCAGGUGUCCUGUUAAGUUAGAUGUUAAAUCGCAAGGCUCAACCUUGCGGCUGCAUCUAAUACUGGCAGGAUAGAGGAUAGGUGACGGAAGUGGAAUUCCUGGUGGAGAGGUAAAAUCCGUAGAUAUCAGGAGGAACACCCGUGGCGUAGGCGGCUUCCGAACCUAUACCUGACACUCAGGGACGAAAGCUAGGGGAGCAAACAGGAUUAGAUACCCUGGUAGUCCUAGCUGUAAACGAUGAAUACUAGAUAGUGGGUGCUACACCGCACUCACCGCCGUAGCUAACGCGUUAAGUAUUCCGCCUGGGAAGUACGAUCGCAAGUUUGAAACUCAAAGGAAUUGACGGGUCCCCGCACAAGCAGCGAGGCAUGUGGCUUAAUUCGAUGCAACACGAAGAACCUUACCUGGACUUGACAUGUUUUUGAAAGCCCAAAGAAACUUGGGCCCUUCUAGUUUACUAGAACAGAUUCACAGGUGGUGCAUGGUUGUCGUCAGCUCGUGUCGUGAGAUGUAAGGUUAAGUCCUUAAACGAGCGCAACCUCUGUCAUUAGUUGCCACCAGUUCGGCUGAGCACUCUAAUGAGACCGCUAGCGACAAGCUAGAGGAAGAUGGAGAUGACGUCAAAUCCUCACGUCCCUUAUGUCCAGGGCCGCACACAUGCGACAAUGGUAGAGACAGCAGGUCGCGAUGAAGUAAUUCUGAGCUAAUCCUUAAACUCUGCCCCAGUACAGAUCGAGGGCUGAAAUUCGACCUCGUGAAGAUGGAGUUGCUAGUAAACGCAGGUCAGCUAUACUGCGUUGAAUACGUUCCCGGGGAUUGUACACACCGCCCGUCACACCACCCGAGUCGUGUGCACCCGAAGUCGGAUACCCUGACCGCAAGGAGGGGGCUGCCGAAGGUGUGCUCGGUAAGGAGGGUGAAGUCGUAACAAGGCA
rnacentral:rRNA from 1 species